AAACAAUCAACCUUGGCUUUGGUUUAACUACCAUUGACUCGGCUUGGACUUGGGUGUUUGCCAUUCUCACGAGUGGCUCGCCUUAAAUGGAUUAGCUGGACUCGUCUCUGGACCGGUUUGACUUGGCGUAAUAAGUAUUUCGCUGAGAACACUCCAUCGGGAGUGACCUUCCGUUGACCAUGUCUGCUUUCUAACCCGACUGUUCGCUUUUGUGGACAUCACCUUUGAC
rnacentral:misc_RNA from 1 species